CACUCGAUAGCAUAUGGUGUGCACCUGUUUGACCUGGAUGUGGUGGGUAUGGAUAUGCAGGAGGUCUUGGUUCGAUUCCAGGUUGGGUGA